rnacentral:tRNA from 1 species
GGGGUUUUAGCUCAGUGGUAGAGCACUUGCCUAGCAAGUGCAAGGCCCUGGGUUCCAUCCCCAGCUCCG